UACGUAGGUGUCAAGCGUUGUCCGGAUUUAUUGGGCGUAAAGCGCGCGCAGGUGGUUUCUUAAGUCUGAUGUGAAAGCCCACGGCUCAACCGUGGAGGGUCAUUGGAAACUGGGAGACUUGAGUGCAGAAGAGGAAAGUGGAAUUCCAUGUGUAGCGGUGAAAUGCGUAGAGAUAUGGAGGAACACCAGUGGCGAAGGCGACUUUCUGGUCUGUAACUGACACUGAGGCGCGAAAGCGUGGGGAGCAAACAGG
rnacentral:rRNA from 1 species